UAACAAACUGGUUAUUUACGUUGAUUACAGCGCUCAAUUACUCCCCCUUUGCCGCGACACACACGCGGUAUAAAUCAUACACGACCUAAACAUCUUAUUGGAUGAGAGAACAAUUCCCAAGUCGGCUCUGUCUGACUGUCGGGCUGCUCCACUCUCUACUUUCUCCACUGCUGUUUUUUAUCUGACGGUGGAAAGAGGCAGCUAUGCUCAGGACCGGCAAUUAUCGGAACAUGUAUCAAGGAGAAGGCACGAGGCUGCGUGGCGGGAGUCUCGGCGGCGCGCGGGAAGGGAAACGUCUUGCCCUGUGCAUCAGCCAGGAGGAAGAGAAGAGGCACCAUCGCUUCUGCAACCAUGGUGGAGGACAACAAGUGCAUAAGAUGGAGAGAAAUGUUUACCUGAGGAGUGAGGAAGAGGAUGACAACAGUCCUCGUUGCCUUGAGCAUCAGCGCUACUGGGAGACCAAGGCCAUUGUAAUUCAGCGUGCCUGGCGUGCCACCCUUUACCGCAGAGAAAGCUGGCAGGGGGACUGUGAGAACCGUACACAUCAUCAGUGUGGGACGGAGUCGCUGGAGUCCUACCAGACGGCUGUGAUGGAUGAGUUUGGCCAGGACCUCUCUCUGGUAAGACCAAGAGAUUCUGGUGGUAUGAAUAAGCAAGGUCGGUUGAGCUUUCUCUGAAAACUAUCUUGCGUGGGCAGCAGAGCUUGGUGGCAUAAGUCCUAAUGGAGGAAAAAAACAGAUGGAUGGAUGGAUGGAUGAAGAGGAAAUGUAUUUACCUCUCUGUUGAGGGCCUCAGCUGUUGGUGGCAUGAGGAAAAGGAGGGUGGAUGGAUGGAG
ensembl:lncRNA